rnacentral:rRNA from 1 species
UACGUUAGCGGCGGACGGGUGAGUAACACGUGGGUAACCUACCUAUAAGACUGGGAUAACUUCGGGAAACCGGAGCUAAUACCGGAUAACAUUUGGAACCGCAUGGUUCUAAAGUGAAAGAUGGUUUUGCUAUCACUUAUAGAUGGACCCGCGCCGUAUUAGCUAGUUGGUAAGGUAACGGCUUACCAAGGCAACGAUACGUAGCCGACCUGAGAGGGUGAUCUGCCACACUGGAACUGAUACACGGUCCAG